GGUGGUGGUGCAUGGCCGUUCUUAGUUGGUGGAUUGAUUUGUCUGGUUAAUUCCGUUAACGAACGAGACCCCUGCCUGCUAAAUAGCUAAUAUAAUGUUUGUUCAUUGUUUUUAGCUUCUUAGAGGAACUUUUCGUGACUAACGAAAGGAAGUUAGGGGCAAUAACAGGUCUGUGAUGCCCUUAGAUGUUCUGGACGGCACGCGCGCUACACUGAUGCAUUCAACAAGUUUAUAACCUUAGCCGAGAGGCUUGGGUAAUCUUAUAAAUGUGCGUCGUGAUAGGGAUAGAUUAUUGCAAUUAUUAAUCUUGAACGAGGAAUAUCUAGUAAGUGUGCUUCAUCAAAGCGUGCUGAUUACGUCCCUGCCCUUUGUACACACCGCCCGUCGCACCUACCGAUUGAAUGGUCCGGUGAAAACCUGGGAUAUUAGAUAUGUGCUGUUUUAGGUAUGUGUUUAGUAGAACUCGUUAAACCUUAUCAUUAGAGAAGUAAGUCGACACC
rnacentral:rRNA from 1 species